CCCCACGACCCAGUCAAGGUCUCCAUCCCACCUUCCUCACGGUUGGUACAAUCUCAGUAUGGAGACCUGUUACGGUCGUGGAACAUUAUGCGCACGAACCACGUCCUUCCGAUGUGCUUCGUUCCGAAGUACGCGGGUCAAAGGACGCUCGUGCGUAUCGUCUCUAUAGAGUUGAGCUCAGUUUCCUGUCCUCCUUUGGGCAUGGGGUGAGUGCUGGGCUCGUAGUUUGGGGACAUACAUCU
rnacentral:snoRNA from 1 species